CACUUUAAAAUAUGAAGUAAAGGUCUUAUUUGGAGUAAAAUAAGGUAGUUGAUAAAUAACAAGAGCUGAUGGUCAUAUGAGGAUAACCAACACUUACUUUUCUUUUGAAAACUGUUCAACUCUAUCAUGGAGAGUACAACAAUGUCCUGGACACCUUUUGCUAUAACUAACUACUAAACUCGUGGCGAAGAAACUUAAUUCACCGCACAGGAAUUCUACGGCAUAUGUGAAAUAAAUGAUUUAACACACAAGGAUUGAAAGUCAUUUAUUCAGUAACAAAUUUCACACUUGAAGCGAUUAAAUUCUCCGAGAAUCUCUUUGAAAGCGAGCAAAUCCUUAAAUUUAUACAGAACUCGACAGCUCGUGGGAGAAACCGUUUUCCUCCAAAUUUAAGUGAAUGAUGUUUGAAAUAAGAAAUAACGUCGUUUCCAAACUAAAUGGAGUAGGGUAUGUCUUAACACGAUGAAUUACUAUAAAUGCGGCUUCAGAAGCCCGCCUCCUUUAUAUCCCCGAUUUGUUUUAGUGUUUUCUCUAAGAGUGCCGAAUGUCGAUUUUUCCGUGAACAAAAAAAUACGUGAUGCAGAAUAAAACUCUAAAACCGGAUGUCGCUGGAAGAUAACAUGGAAACAAUUUGGCACUACAUUAAUUAUGUACAAAUACGUAAAGUAGUAAAAUAGAAAAUUUCAAAUGAA